rnacentral:tRNA from 1 species
GGCGUGGUUGCUCUGUUGGCAAGGGCCGCCCGGCUUUCACCCGGGACCAGAGACGCGGGUUCGAUUCCCGUCCACGUCACCA